rnacentral:rRNA from 1 species
UACAGAGGGUGCGAGCGUUAAUCGGAUUUACUGGGCGUAAAGGGCGCGUAGGCGGCUUCUUAAGUCUGGUGUGAAAUCUCCCGGCUCAACUGGGAGGGUGCGCCGGAUACUGAGGGGCUAGAGUGUGGGAGAGGAAAGUGGAAUUCCUGGUGUAGCGGUGAAAUGCGUAGAUAUCAGGAGGAACACCGGUGGUGUAAACGGCUUUCUGGACCAUAACUGACGCUGAGGCACGAAAGCGUGGGUAGCAAACAGG